UACGUAGGGUGCGAGCGUUGUCCGGAAUUAUUGGGCGUAAAGAGCUUGUAGGCGGUUUGUCGCGUCUGCUGUGAAAAUCCGGGGCUCAACCCCGGACUUGCAGUGGGUACGGGCAGACUAGAGUGUGGUAGGGGAGACUGGAAUUCCUGGUGUAGCGGUGAAAUGCGCAGAUAUCAGGAGGAACACCGAUGGCGAAGGCAGGUCUCUGGGCCACUACUGACGCUGAGAAGCGAAAGCAUGGAGAGCGAACAGGAUUAGA
rnacentral:rRNA from 1 species